rnacentral:rRNA from 1 species
GACAGAGGGUGCAAACGUUGUUCGGAAUUACUGGGCGUAAAGGGUGCGUAGGCGGCUUGGCAAGUGGAAGGUGAAAUCCCUCGGCUUAACCGAGGAACUGCCCUCCAAACUGCUUCGCUUGAGACCGGGAGAGGUGAGUGGAAUUCCCAGUGUAGCGGUGAAAUGCGUAGAUAUUGGGAGGAACACCAGUGGCGAAGGCGGCUCACUGGACCGGUACUGACGCUGAUGCGCGAAAGCGUGGGGAGCAAACGGG